GUCUACUGCCGCUGCGCGUUACACCUGUCCGCCUCGUGCGCUCCGAUCCGCAACGAGACCAACGUGUUUCCGAAUGUCACUCUAAUCGGGGGAUGACUCCGCGACUUCCGAAGCGCCGAGACGCGCGUCGGAAGCCGCCAUCUUGACGACCUUGAAAGAUAAUCCUUGUAGAACCCGUCGCGCGUCAACCCGCCCAUCAACCUUGCGAUUGCAUUCGUUGAAAUUGUGACAGGGUGGCGAGGAACUACGAGAAGGGUCCUACUUAUGGCGUUUUCCGAAAAUUGUCGCCAACAUGCGAUGCCGUGCACGCUCCACACAUGUCAUACGACAAGAUUUACCCCGCGCGAUGAAGAUUAAAAAGGAUAAGUCUUAAGAUCACAGCUGGAAGAUUAUCCUUGGAAGAGCUUUUUCCGAUGGUGGCGAUUACAUAAUUAAUCGAAUAAUAUGCAAAUUUCUUCGUAAUGAUACCCGCCGGACUAUUAAUCCAAUUCUAGAUUACCGCGCAGUUUCCAUCGCGAAAAGAUGAAGAAAAACUCAAUUAAUUGCGUAAUGUUACGCAUUCAUUUUAUUAUACAUUCCGAACGGAUGUCAUCAUGCAAUUAAUGAUUUUUUUUAAUACACGAAAAUAUAUUAAUAAAACAAUGCUUGUCGAAAUAAUCUUCAUACUCUAUACGAGAAGAUUCAAAGCCAUCGAACAUGAUCCAAAACGUAAAAGUAAGUCACGAAUCUUACUAGCUUUUCCUCGUUGUUUAUUAUUUUCUCGGAUACUAGAUAAUUUCAGAAACUGUUUUCCUUCGAUGCAGAUUACAUCCCUGUGGAUGUAAUUUUUUCACGUCUCACGGUGCGAGAUAUGAGCGCAAAUCAAUAGCCUACGCGCGAAAUUUUUUACGCAUUUCGCAAUGUUCUCGCGUGUUACGAGAAAAUAUCGGAGAUACGUGCGUCAGCGGGGGAGGGGAGGAAAAAAAAUGAUUUUUUUAGAGCGCGAACCCGGAAUGGCGCCGGCGGUCCGGUUUAAUCUCGACACGCCCAUUACACACGACGUACAUAUUACAUCACGAUCGCACUCGAUAGCAAGCGUAUCUAUACGAGCCCUAUUCCCCUGUGCCUACCUACGAUACGUGUAAGCCGCAAUUAAAAUUCAAGAAAAAUUCUCGGAAACCUGUUUCGAGAGCGAGCGAAAUAUUUCGCUGCGGGGUGGUCACGCAGGAACGCCAGUCACGGAUGAUCUCGUUUAAUUGCCCUCAGCCCUUAAACACUCUCCCUCGAAAUUUUUGUCGUCCACCAUGUUCGAUAUUCUCUACCGUCGUGGUCAAUUAUUCCGCGCGAGAUUUGGAUAUUUCAACACCUCGUUAGGAAUAGA